rnacentral:rRNA from 1 species
GACGUAGGGGGCAAGCGUUGUCCGGAAUCAUUGGGCGUAAAGCGCUCGUAGGCGGACUUUUAAGUCGGCGAAGAAAGACCUGGGCUCAACUCAGGGAACGGCGUCGAUACUAUUGGUCUUGAGGUAAUUAGAGGAUGAUGGGAUUCCCGGUGUAGCGGUGAAAUGCGUAGAUAUCGGGAGGAACACCAGUGGCGAAGGCGAUCAUCUGGGAUUAACCUGACGCUGAGGAGCGAAAGCCAGGGGAGCAAACGGG